UCGCAGUUAUGGUCUCUCGCCUAUAAAUAAAUGUAUCUAUGCUUCUGAAUCCGGUUUUCUAAAACCAGCCAGAGCAAAUAUGGACUCUUUACUCAUUUGCUUCCUCUUGCUUUCUCUCUCUUUUAAUUCAUCAACGCCUCUUUGCCAUUCACACCAAUCCUCUGUUAAGUAUCAAAAAAUGAAAUACUUUACUUAUCGGAGUGCUCUAAUGUAAACUUCUAUACUUUAACAUCACAGGCUGGUGGCCCUUUCUAUCUCUUUAAAAGGACGGAGGGAGAGCAUUCAUUCAUAUUUCAGAGCACUGGCUGACAUUCCACAACCAGAUUAUAAAAACUUAUGUUCUGAUUUUUGGGAGUAUCAGUUCAUUAUUCCAAUUUAAUCCUGCCAUUUAGUUUUAAGUAUUAAUUUGCUGGCCUCAAUGUUUUGUGGGAUUUUCUUGAUCUGGACAACAGCAAUGGUAAUAAAAAACUAUUUCAGACCUUAAAGGAUUUUGAUAAAAUUGAUUUCAUCAAGGAGGAGCUUGAAAAGGCUUGUCCCCAGGUAGUUACAUGCGCUGAUAUUGUCCAGAGAUGGCUUCUUGAUCCUUAAUCUUCCUACUCUCUCUCUCUCUCUCUCUUUUAAGAUAUUUUUGUUAAUAUCAGGAGUCCUUUCACCUAAGGGUUUUUGCAAUAGUUUCAAGCUUAGGAUUUGAUGAUUGGUUGUGGAUAAUGAUUCUUGAAUGAAACUUGGGUAAAAUGUAAGAAACAGACUUUAAAAGUGUCAGUACCUCUUUACAAUUUUAUAUGUCGACAGGAGUCUAUCAAUAAGAUUCUAAAGUACAUAUUUUUGGGGAAAUCUAGAAAGUUAAGGAAUUGAGAUACGUUCCAUUUUUGCUGUUUUCGUUUCCUCAAAUUGUUAGUCACCUUUAAUUAGCGAACUAUUUGUUUCAGGCACUUUUUGAUUAUGGUUUUUUUCAGGUCUAAAUUAUCAAAAAAAUUCAACAAAAAAAGAAAAAGAAAAGAAGAAUGAAAGAAAAGAGAAAUACUUUUCUUUUUCCAAAUAUUGUUAAACUGACAAUGAAGAACUGCUCCUGGGAAGUUUGAUGAUCUGCUUGAGCCCGGAUGCCAUUGUUUGCCUUGGGUUUUGGGACAACAGUUAGCUGGCCACCUUUCGUUGGAUGUUUGAUGUGAAACAAAGACAAAAGGAUAAUGUGUUUGUUAUUGUUGUUACUUCUAUUCAAUACCAGGCCUUGUCAGCCACACCAGAGCACAGAUCCAAUCCUAUGUCUUUGAUGUUAUUAGAGCAAGUGUUCCUAAGUUGGUGCUGGAUUCUGUUUAUGAACAAAAUAAUUAGAUCACGAAAGCUGUGGAAGAGGAACUCAAAAAGGAAUUUCUCUGUCUACUAAUCUGGUUUAGUAUUAGUCAAGUUACAAGGUAAAUCUGUUUCUUUUUAAUAUCUUUGAAUUUUACAUGCAUAGGCCAAGUCAGCUUAUGGAUUUGAGAUUGUUCAAAUGGUUAUUGUGGCCACUAAACCUGAUGAACAUGUGAAGAGGACUAUGAGUGAGAUAAAUGCCACUGCAAGAAUGAAGGUGGUGGCUAACGAGAAGGCUGAAGCAGAAAAAAUCCUGCUAAUAAAACAUGCCAAGGGAGACUGAGCAUGGUAAGCAUGCCAGCAUCAGACCAUUGAAGUUGGGCUGCGGGACAGUGUGCUUGCUUUCUCUGUGAAUGUACCUGGGACUUCAUCAAAGGAUGCCCUGGACAUGGUUCUGGUGACUCAAUAUUUAGACACGGACCAGGUGCUGUGAAAGACAUUGCUUCACAGAUUAGAGAUGGCCUCCUUCAAGCAAAUACCACCCAGAAUUAGUGACUUUGUCCCAACAUAUAUGUUGCACGAGUGGCUUUUCUAAUGGUGUAUGAAAUAUUUGGUGCUAGUAUCUAAGAGUUGUGUCUUUUAUUCUUCUUAUUCUACUUUCGAAAUUAUUUACUUGAGUGAAGAUAGGAGCUAGGGAUUGUCUUGCAAGUUGCAACUAAGUGGUGUGGUGUGUAUACGUGGUGUUGAACUUGGCCAUAGUAUUGGCAAUAUUCUUUUAUAGGGUGAGAUGGUACUGAUUUGGGUAAUUUUGUGGAAUCCUCUGGUGUUAUAUGCUAUUUUGCAACUGUUGUCUUCA